UACGUAGGGUGCAAGCGUUAAUCGGAAUUACUGGGCGUAAAGCGUGCGCAGGCGGUUUUGUAAGUCUGACGUGAAAUCCCCGGGCUCAACCUGGGAAUUGCGUUGGAGACUGCAAGGCUAGAAUCUGGCAGAGGGGGGUAGAAUUCCACGUGUAGCAGUGAAAUGCGUAGAGAUGUGGAGGAACACCGAUGGCGAAGGCAGCCCCCUGGGUCAAGAUUGACGCUCAUGCACGAAAGCGUGGGUAGCAAACAGG
rnacentral:rRNA from 1 species